GCAGCAAGACCCCAAAUCUCAUGGUGGAGUUUCAGAUUCAACGGGGUUAAAACUCAUCUGUUUCCACUGCCUUUUUCAUUUUAUCUUAUGCAGAUGCUCCCAGAUUUCUCGGCCUCAGUUCCUUCCGUGGUUAUUUUUAAAUACUGGGCUUACUAUAAUUAAUUCCAAAGCCUUUUAUUAUUGCCUCUGUUGGAGAGAAAAAUGCUAAAAGCCACUUUUUCCAAAGUUCUCUUACCCAGUUCCUGAUGAAGGGGAACUGAAAACGUUUCCUGGAGGAGAAAGGAAACCGAAACGCUGCCUGGGUAUAAAAGACUGGCUGGAAUGCCCAGAUGCGCCCGGCCCGCCUGCCCCGGGGCUCCAUUGACGCGGGAGCUCGCGCCGCUCCGGGCUCCUCCACCUUUCCUGGGUCGGACGCGCGGCUCAGCGGCGCUCUGGACCCAGCAGAUUUGCCAUUUUCAUUACCAACUGCCAUUUAGAGUGACCAGAGUAAAGGAUAUCUGCUGUAUGUGAUAAUUUCCAGUUCCAACUGGAGGCAGAAAUAGCCUCAAGAAUGGGUAAUUUUCAAUUUAAGUACUUAAGGAAUUAUAAAAUGUAAUAUGUGUAGGCUUAAUGGAAUGAAAAUAAUUAUAUUAUUUUGUCGUAUUUUGCAAAUAAUAAAUAAACUUGAGUUCAUUUAAAAACAGUAGAUGAAAAAUAAUCUAUUUUUUCCUUUUUUAGAAGAACACACAAAGUUUUUAGAGGAAAUGUCAUUGUUUAUUUUGAACAAAUUGCCAAAUGCUGAGUGAGUAUAUUUGUAAUAAUAAAAAUCUUGGAG
rnacentral:lncRNA from 1 species